GGUGUGACCUAGCCGUCGCUCCUCCCACAUUCGCUCAUCCCACCUCCUCCUCUCCCUCCCGCGAUCCCCUCUGCCUCGCACGCCGCCACCGCUCGCCCUCACGCCGCCUCCGCCUCAGCUCGCCCUCGCGCCGCUGCCGCCUCUGCCCCCGCUCGCCCUCGCUCCGCUGUCGCCUUCGCCUCCGCUCGCCCUCAUCUCUGCUCAUUAGGAGGAGCGCGGCUCACCGCUGGACCUCGCGAGAGAGGUCAGGGUUAGGGUCUCGGCCCGGGGUGGCUACUGCGGAGCUCCUGGCGGGCUACCUGCUCUGCCUGCUCGCGCUUGCGGUGGCCAAGGCGACCACGCUGCUCUGGGUCAUGCAUCGUCGCUCCACUCCACGAUGCCAUGUUGCUCCCCCGCGCCUCCUCCCGGUCCUCCAGGUCCACUCUCCCGCGCAGCUCCCCCGCUCCUUCCUCGCAGUCCUAAAAUCCUUUCUUCCCUCCCAUGAGCGCAGGAAGAAGAGGAUGCAUACGAAGUAAGGCUUUGGCUUUCCUCUCCUCCAAGUUCUUCCAGCAUGAGGCUGGAUGGAGUAGGAUUAGUUAGUGGAUCGGAUGCCAGAUGCGUGGAUGUGUGUUUGGGGGUUGCAAUCAGUCAGAUUUGUACUGUACUACUUCUGCUUGAACUCUAAAAUUCAGUAAGGUUGGGGUUCCUUGCUCUGUUGAAUUCUUCUGUGUGUAAAAGGGGGACCGAGUGAUCCAGAUGACAUAUCUUAAUUUUUGUGCUGUGAUUGAAUUGCAGUUGCUCGGUACUGUGAGAACGUGGAGAUGUGCAGGCUCACAGAGUGGAUAAGUUGUAGAUUGUGUAUGGAUAAGUAAGAUAUGUGGCUGCUAGGUGCAGGUUUGUAAUUUUGUUUUAAUUGUAGGGACAUGUAGGUCCUUUAUUUGUAUUUCGGGCUCUUGUACUAAUGUUCAGGGCAGUGGAAAUCUUGUAUAAUAAUCCGUACGUAGUUGAGACUAACAACAGAACGAUGACAUGUUUGUUUUUGGGCAAGAAUUUAUCAUGGGGUGUGGGUGGUAAAGGAAUAAAGAAGGUUGAUAUUCUUUUAAUCUUUCUAAUUCAUUCUACCACAGUUAUAUGGAAUGCUCUACUUCCAAAUAGUUACAUGGAAAUGUCCACUGUCCAUACACAAUGAACUCCAACUUUCUCCAAAUAUUGUAUAUUAACCCAAGAUGAUUUUUAUUUCAUCUAAAUGAUUUUAUAGGUACACAAAGAUGAUGAGGUCAGAGCCUUGUUUAAGCAAGUGCAAGGAGAAGUCCCUGGAUUGCCUAUAAUCAUUAUGAAGGUGGCAUCUCAGGAACCUUCUAUUGAGUUGUUUUACUGGCUUAAUUUGGCCGCUCUUGAGCAUCCAGCAGCUCUGUAUCCGAAGACUGUCACCAUUUGUAAAUACUACGUACUUGUUGCUAUGUAAGAAAACCAUACAUCCAACAACUGCCAAUGGGGCGCGCCACGAUGUGUGUUGGCGGGCUCCAUUCUUUGCUCCAGGCAAGUCUCUUUUCCUGGUUAAAUCUUCAUAAUUGUUUAUGUAACCAAUUUAGGCUUUGAUUUCCUUAGCAAUGUGCACAUCAUGUGUUUUAUGCGAUGUACAACAGGAAUCAUUGUACUCGACGGUCUCUGUUUUCUAUAAGUGAGGAGCAUAACAUGGCUAUGGUAGAUUCCAUGUGUCAUGUUCUUGACCUAAAUAGUCCAUCGUUGGAACUGAUGUUCAUGCGAACCUUACCAUAAAGCUUAUGUUUCAGGUACAAGUAUGUUGGCUUGAGAAGCAUCAGAACUAAAGGUUGAAUAUAAGCAAGUGAAAUUCUAACAACCUCAAUAUUCUGUGGUGUCGACCUGGUGUCAUACUACUUAAUUAACUCAUUGUGUGCCAUACCCCUGGCCGUGAUGCCCAUGACUUCAGUCCUUGCUUGUGAUAUGUCUCCAACGUAUCUAUAAUUUUUGAUUGUUCCAUGCUAUUAUAUUACCCUUUUUG